UUGGAUAUGUCUCAGCCAGCAACAUCCAAACAGAUGAUGAGGUCUAUGAUGACAUCGGAGAUGACUGUAUCUAUGACAAUGACUGAAGACCUCACACCAUCAUCAUCUCAUCUUCUGGUGCAGCUUAUUAUUUCUGGCCCUGUUUGUGUUCUUGACUGCUGAUGUUGAGCGUAUUUAUUGUAUAGAAACAUGUAUUAGGCUGAAAUAAACAGCCUAGUACCAUCAUGAUAUCGUAGUUACCUUGCCUCAGUAAAAAUAAAUGGCAUCUUGUCCAAAUUGGCCUCCAAAUACAGUUUUCCAAGGUAUACAGUUACAAAUAUACAAAUACAAAUAUACAAAUACAGUUUACUUUCACUUUCUGUUUCCUGUCAUGUAUUUGAGAAAACAAGCUGAAUCUAAUUCUAAGACACAUUUUUGUUCCCGAGUGAAAGGCAGUAUUUUGUAACAGGUCUCAAUUUUCUCAUUUACUUAUUGUGUUUUUGUAAAUAUUACACUGCAAAAGACUGAACUGUUUUCAUCACUUGCUAAUAAUAAAUGUAUACAUUUGCACCACUUUUAAAUUCAGCAUGCUAAUUAUGUUGACUGAACAAUGUUUAUAUCUAUGUUCACUUGAUUUAUGUAGAUUUUCGUAAUUAAAAUUGUAUACAUAAAUCAAAUAAUAGUAGGGUAAGAUAUGCCCACCAGGGCAAGAUGACCAAGUUCUUCUUAAUUUUGUCAUUUCAACUCAAUAUCAGUCAAGAUUUUGUCAGUCAAAUCAGUUUUAAGGUUAUUUGAUCUAAUUUUGUGUCUGGAAAAUAGUGAUCUGUGACAUUGUAUUAUGUUGAAUAUAUCAAAGUUCCCUUAUUGAGUUGGCCUCUGGACAUUACGUAUGGGGAAAACCUUUUCCUCUGAGAUGCUGAAGCCUGGGCUGCGUUCAGCCCCGACAAA